rnacentral:tRNA from 1 species
GGGCGAUUAGCUCAGUUGGCUAGAGCGCCUGCUCGACACGCAGGAGGUCGCAGGUUCGAAUCCUGCAUCGCCCA